AGAAUAAAAAAAUGUUUUUGUGGAAGUGUAAUUUUAUAAAAUAGCCCUUGUUUGACUGACCCUGCGGUUCAAUUUGCCUACUUAGUAGGUACUGUUUUUGUGUUGAAAUAGCAGAUACAUUUGAGUGCAUGGCAAAAUAGAUGGGACGUACUAACAGGAAGCGGAAGUGGCCGUUGUUGCCUAGACAACAUUGUGGCCAACAACUGUCACACACAUCAAAAUACACCUCUUCUUUCCAUUAAGGAUUCUUCAUCUGGUAAUGGUUCAUCAUGCCAAGGGCUUCCAUUGCAUCAUUGACAGACUCCCACUCCAGAAGCCCAGACGAACUCUUCUCUGAUGAGGAACCUAAUGAGAACCAGCGAGAAUGAAAUAUCAACAAGAGAUGGACACGACGUGCAGCCAUAUUGGACGUAGAUCUCUUAUCUUUGCAUGAUUAAAUUAUAAUGCAACCUAUCUUGACCUCAAAAUGCUUGUUUUCUCAAACUAAUGUGUAGUUUAACCUCGGAAAACAUUUAUGAACGUUUAUUUAUGAUGAGUGGAUGUGAUUUUUGGAACUUAAAAAAACAGGACUUUAUUCAAUAGCAUUGCAAAGCUAGGAAUAGACGCAAUUUCUAUUUAUCAUUACUCCAGUCGUGGAGGGCAGAAGAAAGGACGACAGUUACACCAUAGAUGGCAUGAGGACGGAUGAGAAGAAAAAAAACCUGGAUUCUGUAUUCAAGGCCAAAUUUCAAUCCGAAGCCUACCUCAAACCCAACACUUUAAGACUUUAUGACAAGAAACUUGACAUCGCUUACCUUUUGCUGCAAAA